ACGUAGGUCACAAGCGUUGUCCGGAAUUACUGGGUGUAAAGGGAGCGCAGGUGGGAGAACAAGUUGGAAGUGAAAUCCAUGGGCUCAACCCAUGAACUGCUUUCAAAACUGUUUUUCUUGAGUAGUGCAGAGGUAGGCGGAAUUCCCGGUGUAGCGGUGGAAUGCGUAGAUAUCGGGAGGAACACCAGUGGCGAAGGCGGCCUACUGGGCACCAACUGACGCUGAGGCUCGAAAGUGUGGGUAGCAAACAG
rnacentral:rRNA from 1 species